rnacentral:rRNA from 1 species
UUGCAGGCUGCAACCCGCCCUGCAUGAAGUCGGAAUCGCUAGUAAUCGCGGGUCAGCGUACCGCGGUGAAUACGUUCCCGGGCCUUGUACACACCGCCCGUCACACCACGAAAGUUGGUAACACCCGAAGCCGGUGGCCUAACCCUUAGGGGAGGGAGCUGUCGAAGGUGGGACUGAUGAUUGGGGUGAAGUCGUAACAAGGUAGC